CCCUGUUCUAGAACCCCUCAACUGCUGUUUCCCCUAGCAACUCCUGCGGUUAUCCCUGGAAUGUCUGGGCAGGGGCUGUAAAAUUGGAAUAGGUCCCCCCCCACUCCUUAAUGUGGUGGCAGAGACCCCUGAGGGGAAAUGCAGAGGGCCUUGGUUCUCGGCUGGGCUGUGGAGCUGGGCACUCAGGGAGUUUCACAUAGCCACGAAGCUGCUUUCUCAGGCUCCUCUGGCAGGGAGCGUCAGGAUGAGAAUCCAGACCUGACUGCCACCCAGCCCUCUCACUUCGCAGAUGCAAAAAUCCAGACUCAGAAAGGGAGGUAACUUCUCCAACAGGGCGGGGUCUGAAGCCCAGGGUCCCGACCCCACCAAGCUGGCCCUGCAGGAGCCUCCUGAGAGGUGUCUCGGGAGCAGACCCAGGGGAAGGGGGCACUGUGCACUCUUGCCGGGUAGGCAAAAGUCUGUCUGCUUCUUGGCAGCUGUGUGGCUUCAAAGCCCAGACAGCAGGGACUGAAGACUGAGCAAGCCACCCCUCUCCUGUCCCAGACCCACCUGAACCCACCAAAGCUGGGAAAGGAGGGGUAGUGGAGACUCCAGAAAAACAGGAAAAAUUUAAACUCAACCACUAAGUAAAGCAUCAUUAACUCCUGUUGUGCUGAGCCCACAAACAGCCCCAGCACUCACUGUUCUACUGUCUGUCGCUGUGCAUUUGACAACUCUAGGGACCUCAUCAUAUAAUCAUGGUAAGUGGAAUCAUACAGUAUUUGUCCUUCUGUGUCUGGCUUCUUUCACUGAGCAUGUCUUAUGGGUUCAUCCAUGUGUCGUAGCAUGUUCUUUUUAAAAUAUUGCCUGCCCAGGCACAGUACAGUAGCAUACGCUUGUAGUCCCAGCUACAGGAGGCUGUGGUGGGAGGAUUGUUUGACCCAGGAGUUUGAGCCCAGCCCCCUUGGGCAACAUAGUGAGACCCCAUCUCUAAAAAAAAACAAAAAAGUUUUUAACUCUCUGUCUCUCCUACUAGAAUGGAGUCUCUACGAGGGCAGGGAUGUUGGUUGGCUGUAUCCUCGGGCUGGAAGAGCACUGGCACGCAGCAGGCACUGAAUAGAAUUUCUAAAUAUACAAACGGAUGAACCAAUGGAUGGAUGGAUGAAUGAAGACCCUGUAUAGGUCAAUGCCUCAAAUGUCUGUGCCUGGCCUGGAGUUAUGUCCCUCACCCCCACUGUAGACUAACUCCUGGUCCCACCCUACGGCUUUGGAACUGAAGCCACAGGCCUACCAUCCCUGAGAGGUAGCGGUGCUCAGCGUGGCAGGACGCCCCACUUGAUGGUAGGCUUCUCCCAGAUGGCUAACUGCUUCGAGUCUUUCCCCCAGAUGUAACAUGUCUAUGGGAGGAUUAUGACAUGGGUAGAUGAGAGUCCCCAGCCAUGGAGGUGACAAUGUGCCCUGGAGCCUCACAAGGCAGCAGCCACCAGGAAGAGGCAUGGAGGCCAGGAAGGUCCUGGAACACCAGAAUUUGGCCAACAGAGCCUGAAGCCAGCACAUCGUGGAGGGGCAGCAGCCUGGGGGCAUUCGGGAGACCUGGAGAUGUGGCAGCUGGCCAGGAGCUGGGGGUGAACCCAGUUGCCUCCCCUUGGAACCAGAUGAAGCCCCAGAGGCACGUAGUCCUUUUUCCCAGACGGGGGUCCUGGUCCUGUUUCCCUGGGAAUAAGGCUUGAGCAUGAGCUCUCUGGGACCCAGCCCCCGACCAGAACCACACCGUGCAUUCAGGCUUGGGAGGAACUGGAGCACCAGGGAGCCAAGGCUGCAACUUUGAACAUUUGCCACUGCUGACAUCGUGGCCACCCACCUGGGGCCAGAAAGAGCCCCUCCGCUGCCCCCAGAGCAUGGGUGAAGAGACGAACGCUUAGCCUACUACCUCCUCUCAUGCCAGGCCCAGCUGAUGGGAAUAUUUUGCUGAGAUAUUUCUAGCACCAGCAGCAAUUAAAGCAGAUUUUCUCUUCCACUCCCCUUCCCCAAAACAAGAAUAAAUCAGUUCUACCAAUUUCCCAGCUAAUGAUUUCCUCCAUUAAAUUAAAAAGAAGAAGAAAAUGUUUUCUUAAAUGGAUUACCAGCCCUGUGCUUUCAGAGACCAUGUGACCUGUCAACUCCUUUUAAAGUCUGAUACAUCAAAGUCCCUGAAUUAAUUUUUAAUAAAUAAAAAAGUCAUAAUCUAAGAAGCACCAUCCCACACACCCCCCUCCCCCAUCAAGGGUCAGCUCUGAGCUGACUCUGGGAAGCCAGCUUAAUCGGGCCAAGUAUGGCUCUUAAUAGAGAACCAGAUCCAUUCCACAGAUGGGAGAGACAAGGCUGAGAGAUGUCAGGUGCCCAAGCACAGAAAUCAGGCCCUGAGAUGAACCUAGAGUUGUGGCAUGCACCGUAGAGUGCUACAUGUGGAACUGAGUCCUUGAUUUCGAGGGGCACCUGUCUGGAGAGAUGCAAACAGGUAGAUCCAGGAGCUGAGGAGUAACUAAGUAGGUGUGAGCUAGCGCCAUCUGCGUGACCCAGAUGGGGGCUCCUGGGCAGGACCUGGGCUUCUCUUCCUCUUUUGCUCCCUGGCAGCACCUGGUAUAGGGUCAGCACACAGUGCUGACAUCCCCUUUGCUUCAAAAAGCCCACCCCCUACAACACAGACAAACCUCAAAAACAUGAUGCUGAGCAAAAGAAGCCAGACACAAAAGGCCACAUAUUGCAAGACUCUGUUCCUAUGAAACAUCUAGAAGACGCAAAUCCAUAGAGACAAAGAGUACGGCAGAGGCUACUGGGGGUGAGGAAAAGGGUUGGGAGUUGUUAGUUAAUGGGUGCAGUUUCUGUUUGGGAUGAUAAAAAAAAUUCUGGAAAUGGAUAGGGGUGAUGGUUACACACAUUCUAAAUGUACUUAUGCCAAUGAACUAUACGCAUAAAAGUGGUUAACACAGAAAAUUUUAUGUUAUGUAUAUUUUACCACAAUAAAAAAAAAUACAAGGAGAAAAAAGCCCACUCUCCAAAAUGCAACUUGAAGAUACAGGAUGGCCAAUAACUCCACAGGGACAAUGGUGGGACCCUCUGCAAACUGCCCCCAGACAGACUCAAUGCUUAAAGCACAGCGCAGAGGCUCACAGGGCCUGUCUUGUCAUGUAUGAACACCAGGGACCUUCAGAGAAGGGCUCUUUGUGUGAGCCAGCAUGACUAAGCCAGGAUGCCCUGUCUCCCUGGCGGCCAGCCAGAUGCCACAGGGCAGGCAGGGGCUGAGAAGUCUCUGUGGACACCUCCCUGGAAGGCACCUCCUGGUCUCGGCAUUCACUGCACCCUUUUCCUGAAAUGCACUUCCCGAUAUUCCGUAACCUGCUUCCUACGUUUAUUUAGGUUUUCACAGGGAGGUCCUCUCUGACCAUCUACAGUUAGAAAAAUACCGGGAAGGUUGCUGGAGCCAGGCAAGGUAGCCGUGAGCAAGAACAGGAAAGCCAGGGCCCCAACACUAUGACAUGCCAGCACCUUCCUGCUCCCUGGCUACAGAAAAGCAGCUUGCAGGGGGCAUCAGGUCCUGGCUCCAUCAUUUACCAGCUUGGGGGCCUUGGCUAGUUCCUUCAACCCUCUAAACCUCGGUUUUCUCUUCUACAAAAUGGGGGUGAAGACAGUGUUUGUCUCUUGGGCUUUUCUGAGGACUACAAUGAGAUGAUGUAUAGUAAGUGUUUAGCAUAUGGCUGGGACAUGGUCAAAGGUCGGUAAAUGGUAAUGAUACAUGGAUUAUAAUGGAAGUACAACAUUAAUCCCUUAAUGCUGGCCAGGAGGUGUGGGUCAGCGAUCCUGAAGACAGGGGAAGGGGCCAGUCGGGCCAGACCACAACCACAACUACUCUUCUCAGCAUGUGAAUUAACUGAUUGAAUCUUUUUGUCCCCAUGUUGCAUAUGAGGAAACUGAAGCACAGAGAGGUUAGUGACUUGCCCCAGGACAUACAGCCAAGAGGUA
rnacentral:lncRNA from 10 species